rnacentral:rRNA from 1 species
GACGUAGGGCGCGAGCGUUGUCCGGAUUUAUUGGGCGUAAAGAGCUCGUAGGCGGCUUGUCGCGUCGUCCGUGAAAACCUGCAGCUCAACUGCAGGCUUGCGGUCGAUACGGGCAGGCUAGAGUUCGGUAGGGGAGACUGGAAUUCCUGGUGUAGCGGUGAAAUGCGCAGAUAUCGAGAGGAACACCAGUGGCGAAGGCGAGUCUCUGGACGACACCUGACACUGAGGCACGAAAGCUAGGGGAGCAAACAGG